rnacentral:rRNA from 1 species
UCCUACGGGAGGCAGCAGUGGGGAAUAUUGGACAAUGGACCACAAGUCUGAUCCAGCAAUUCUGUGUGCACGAUGACGUUUUUCGGAAUGUAAAGUGCUUUCAGUCGGGAAGAAGUCAGUGACGGUACCGACAGAAGAAGCGACGGCUAAAUACGUGCCAGCAGCCGCGGUAAUACGUAUGUCGCAAGCGUUAUCCGGAUUUAUUGGACGUAAAGCGCGUCUAGGCGGCAAGGAAAGUCUGAUGUGAAAAUGCGGAGCUCAACUCCGUAUGGCGUUGGAAACUGCCUUACUAGAGUACUGGAGAGGUAGGCGGAACUACAAGUGUAGAGGUGAAAUUCGUAGAUAUUUGUAGGAAUGCCGAUGGGGAAGCCAGCCUACUGGACAGAUACUGACGCUAAAGCGCGAAAGCGUGGGUAGCAAACAGGAUUAGAUACCCUGGUAGUCC